UGAGACAAAGAAUCCUAUAGUGGCAAAAGUGAUGAACUUGGACAUAGCCUAGUAGAGUGGCAUUGACUAGUGUAGUAGAAAUACUAAACUUGAACGAGUGGCAUGUCGACUAGUUAGAAGAUAUUACUACAACGACUGAACGAGUGGCAUCGAGUCUAGUGUAGUAAACAUGACAUGGUUCUUGGGAUAGUAGAGGUCCCGGCAUCUAGGAUGCAUUGUAUAUUGUGCAGUAGAGGCACAUCGACC
rnacentral:lncRNA from 1 species